UAUGUUUGGCCAUCAUUG
rnacentral:misc_RNA from 1 species